AGGUCAGACCACCACCCAACCAGACCAGUAUGGCUAUCGAAAGGCAAAAGACCCAUAUCGGAGCCAGCUCAGCACAAGGCAUGGCUCAAUUUCAAGAAUCCCAAAGUAUGCCUCCCACGGCACAGAGCCAAGUAACCCCGUUCGUUACAAUGCCUACAGGUCACAGUGAAACUACUCAGGUCCCCGUUGCGUCUCACACACCAGCUGUUGUGCAAGCUAGGAAACGUAAAAAAGUCAGACAACCGCUCAGCCAGCACUGUAUGGCUAUCGAAAGGCAAAAGACCAAUAUCGAAGCCAGCUCAGCACAAGGCACGGUUCCAUUGCAAGAACCCCAAAGCAUGCGUUCCCUGGCACAGAGCCAAGUUACCCCAUUUGUUACAAUGCACACGGGUCACAGUGAAACUACUCAGGUCCCCGUGGCGUCUCACACACCAGCUGUUGUGCAAGCUAAGAAACGGAAAAAGGUCAGACCCAACCAGACCAGUAUGGCUAUCGAAAGGCAAAAGACCUAUAUCGGAGCCAGCUCAUCACAAGGCACGGUUCCAUUGCAAGAAUCCCAGAGUAUGCCACCCAUGGCAGA